rnacentral:rRNA from 1 species
AUUGAACGCUGGCGGCAUGCCUUACACAUGCAAGUCGAACGGUAACAGGUCUUCGGAUGCUGACGAGUGGCGAACGGGUGAGUAAUACAUCGGAACGUGCCUAGUAGUGGGGGAUAACUACUCGAAAGAGUGGCUAAUACCGCAUGAGAUCUACGGAUGAAAGCAGGGGAUCGCAAGACCUUGUGCUACUAGAGCGGCCGAUGGCAGAUUAGGUAGUUGGUGGGAUAAAAGCUUACCAAGCCGACGAUCUGUAGCUGGUCUGAGAGGACGAUCAGCCACACUGGGACUGAGACACGGCCCAGACUCCUGCGGGAGGCAGCAGUGGGGAAUUUUGGACAAUGGGCGCAAGCCUGAUCCAGCAAUGCCGCGUGCAGGAUGUAGGCCUUCGGGUUGUAAACUGCUUUUGUACGGAACGAAAAGCCCUGGGUUAAUACCCUGGGGUCAUGACGGUACCGUAAGAAUAAGCACCGGCUAACUACGUGCCAGCCGCCGCGGUAAUAC